GACGAACGCUGGCGGCGUGCUUAACACAUGCAAGUCGAACGAAGUGGCGAACGGGUGAGUAACGCGUAAUCAACCUGCCCUUCAGCGGGGGACACCAGUUGGAAACGACUGCUAAUACCGCAUACUGUAGGAGGGGAUUGCGUCUGAUUAGCUAGUUGGAGGGGUAACGGCCCACCAAGGCGAUGCUCAGUAGCCGGUCUGAGAGGAUGAUCGGCCACAUUGGGACUGAGAAACGGCCCAGACUGCUACGGGAGGCAGCAAGUGGGAACCUUCCGCAAUGGACGAAAGUCUGACGGGGCAACGCCGCGUGAGUGAUGACGGCCUUCGGGUUGUAAAGCUCUGUUAAUCGGGACGCGGUACCGGAAUAGAAAGCCACGGCUAACUACGUGCCAGCAGCCGCGGUAAUUC
rnacentral:rRNA from 1 species